UUUUCAAAGAUUUAGCCCUGCAUGUUUAAGUAUAGCAAUUAUACAGCGAAACUGCGAAUGGCUCAUUAUAUAAGUUAUCGUUUAUUUGAUAGUACCUUACUACUUGGAUAACCGUGGUAAUUCUAGAGCUAAUACAUGCUAAAAAUCCCGACUCCGGAAGGGAUGUAUUUAUUAGAUUAAAAACCAAUGCCCUCUGGGCUCCUUGGUGAUUCAUAAUAACUUUUCGAAUCGCAUGGCCUUGCGCCGGCAAUGGUUCAUUCAAAUUUCUUCCCUAUCAACCUUUGAUGUUUGGGUAUUGGCCAAACAUGGUCGCAACGGGUAACGGAGGGUUAGGGCUCGACCCCGGAGAAGGAGCCUGAGAAACGGGUACUACAUCCAAGGAAGGCAGCAGGCGCGCAAAUUACCCAAUCCCGAUUCGGGGAGGUAGUGACAAUAAAUAAUGAUACAGGGCUCUUUUGGGUCUUGUAAUUGGAAUGAGUACAAUUUAAAUCCCUUAACGAGGAACAAUUGGAGGGCAAGUUGGCCCCCCCCC
rnacentral:rRNA from 1 species